UACGGGGGGAGCAAGCGUUGUUCGGAUUUAUUGGGCGUAAAGAGCUCGUAGGCGGUUUGGUGAGUCGGGUGUGAAAUCUCCACGCUCAACGUGGAGGAGCCACCCGAUACUGCCAUGACUAGAGUCCGGUAGGGGAGUGUGGAAUUCCCGGUGUAGCGGUGAAAUGCGUAGAUAUCUGGAGGAACACCGGUGGCGAAAGCAGGUAUCUGGGCCAUCACUGACGCUGAGCUGCGAAAGCUAGGGGAGCAAACAGG
rnacentral:rRNA from 1 species